rnacentral:tRNA from 1 species
GGGGCUGAAGCUUAGUGGUAGAGCUCUUGCCUUGCAGGUGUGAGGCCCUGGGUUCAAUCAUCAGCACCUCA